AACGAACGCUGGCGGCGUGCCUAACACAUGCAAGUCGAACGGGAUUAAGGGGCUUGCUCCUUAAUCUAGUGGCGCACGGGUGAGUAACGCGUGGAUAGGCUACCCGAUGAUCUGGGAUAACAUUUCGAAAGAGGUGCUAAUACCGGAUAAGCCCACAGGGUCUUCGGACUCUGCGGGAAAAGGGGGGGACCUUCGGGCCUUCUGUCAUCGGAUGAGUCCGCGUACCAUUAGCUAGUUGGCGGUGUAAGAGACCACCAAGGCGACGAUGGUUAGGUGGUCGGAGAGGAUGAUCAGCCACACUGGAACUGAGACACGGUCCAGACUCCUACGGGAGGCAGCAGUGGGGAAUUUUGCGCAAUGGGGGAAACCCUGACGCAGCAACGCCGCGUGAGUGAUGAAGGCCUUCGGGUCGUAAAGCUCUGUCAGAGGGAAAGAAAUGUAUUGUGGCUAAUAUCCACGAUGCUUGACGGUACCCUCAAAGGAAGCACCGGCUAACUCCGUGCCAGCCGCCGCAGUAACAC
rnacentral:rRNA from 1 species